GACCAUGCUGCUCUGCUUCCCUUCUCUCUCUGCCUCUAGGCAGCUUCUUGCUUCAUGGUUAAAUGUCCCUGAGCAAGGAGCCUGGGCCAAUCCUGCUGGGGCUGGACCUGGAGGCCCGCCCCAGGGAGGAGGGACUGAGCCCUGGCCCAGAUGCAAGGCGGCCUGAAUCGCCGGUCUUGAGACGUGUCUGUGAGUGCAAACCUUCAGAUUUGUCAGCCCAACAUGUGAGCAAAGGCUUUCAAAACCUCCAGGGUGAUGCGCAUGCUGGUGCACUUGGGAAAUGUUAUUUUGGCACCUGUCAUUCUCACCACGAUAUUUUAAAUACUUUUUGAAACAGAGCUUUAUUUUAUAAAAAAGCUAACCAGCAAGCAAGAAAAAAAAAAAAAAGAAACCAAAACAAAAACUCAAAUCAACAUGAAGGAAUGAGGCUUUCUUUUCCAUGGUGUGUUUCUUCCCAAGCUUUCUAAAUCUGCCAGGACAUCUGAAGUACUUACUGGGUCUUGAACACAAGACCUCAGAUGCACUAAGCAAGCCCUGAGCUACACUAGCAACCUUAGUUUUUCCAUACGGUCACCAGCUUCACUGUGAGCUUCUUAUUUUAAAUAGAGAGCUUCUUGGUCCAAGUACCCUGUGGCUCAGUGUAAUAAAUAAACUUACAUCAGCUGAACAUUUGUGUACUGAUUGUCUAUUAAAUGGAACCCUUGUGUACCUUGCAUUACACUGGAUGUCUUUUUAACAUCUGACUUUGCUAUCGCAUCAGAACCGCCCCCUCCAACCCAAUCAGAAGCAAAGAUUAUGGCUUUCAUGUUUGUAUUCCCAACCACCUGGAAUCAUCCCAUUGUUGGUAACUGGAUGAAGAGAUAGAGAAAGGAGAAGAAGGAAAAGAAAGAAUUCUGUAACUCCUCCCAAAACCGAGGAGAUUCUCCCAAAACUAAUCACAUCCCUUAGUGAAAGUACUAAGGACGCAUAAGAAAUAGUUCUGAAGAUGAAGCUUCUUGUGUGAGAGGAAAUGGUUGGGUUAUGAGUCUCCAUCGUGUAGACCAGACAGAAUGUCCAGUCUACUCAGUAAAGUCCUUUGCCAAACACAGUGAAGUUGGCAUCUCAUGAUCAGAGAAGGAACUGUGCAAAAACAGCAUGUGUUGUCACCUGGCCUGCUGCUGUGUGGGCUAGACUUUUGUAGGAAGUGAGCUUACACUAGAAUUUCCUUUGCUAAUCCUAUGAGAUCCAUUGACCUUGCCAGCCAUCCAAAGCAUGUGAUGUCUGAACUCAGGACCGUGUUCUCUGGGCCAAGUCCGAAGUCCGAAUCACCUUCUCGGUGGGACGAGGAUGAGCAGCAUGGGCUUUCCCCUCUCAAGUACAAUUUGACGAAUGCUCGGGAGUACCGCAUCUGUUUGCCAUAAUGAUGAUGACUAUAAUAGCAAUAACAAGAUAUUUAUUAAGCACUCAGAAUGUGCCAACACUGUUAUAAACACUUCACAUGCUUUAGAAAAGUUAAUCUUCACAACAAUCCUAUGAGCUAAGUGGAGGGUUUUAGUAACUUUGCCAAGCGUGUGUAGCUGAGAAGUGGUAGGGCUGGACAGUGACAUAGGCAGCGACAUUUUGUCUCCUCAUGUUCCUUCCAUCUACCACAUACCCCUUGAUAUCGCUUUUGACAAUAUAUCAUGAGAGCCUUCUGACUGCACUGAGCCUAACAACUCCUUUGAAUCCAUCAAGAACCACUUCGGGAAAUCUGCGAGUUCCCCUAAAUUUCUCUUGUGCUUCCUAGGUACUUGGCACAUGCUGCUAUCACACUAAAUUUCAUUGUGUAUUUAUAUAUUUGCCUCUCUCACCAAACUGUGAGCUCCACGAGGGAGAAUACAGAUAAUACCACUCUUCUUUUUCCUCCUCGUCCCCAGGACUUGAUCUGGGUCAAUGUCUAUAGAAAUGUUUUGUGAAUGAAUAAAGAAAGAAUACAUAAGACAACUCAAGUUGUGUGAACAGAGUCAAAGUUCAGUCAGCAGAACAAAACUCUGAGCAGCCCGAGUAGAUGGCAUGGCGUGCGUGCUCUAUGGUGCAGAGAUCCUCAGAGAAGCACAGAUCCAAGGCACUGAGCUGUUCCUCUUCAUCUUUCUCAUGGAACUGCCUCAACCCCUCUCCAAGGAUAUGGUUUCACUGCAGCAACACCAUCCUGGGAUCAACCCCUUUCCUCCACCCUCUCGUGGCUGGUCCACAGUCCAGGAAAGCUCCCAAGCCGCACUGAGCCUAAGAACUUCACUUGGAAGCGGUUACUAUCAGGAAUGGAGGAGAUGUCAGUCCAAGAACCGUUGGAAGUGGUUACUUUCCACCAUAUGGGCCGAAGCCAAAAGAGCCUGUUUGUAGCAAGUGUGAAAAAUGAGAAGAAAACAUAAGUGGAUGGAAAUCACCCUCCAGCUACCCUGCUUUGAGAAAGAACAUCAAACAUAUAAAAGAGUAUUUCCUGGAGGCUAAGGGUGGGUGUGCUACGGCGUCCAGGAAGAAACCUGUGGUGGGAAUCAGGGCUGAAGUUCUGCUGUCGGCUCUGUGUCGCUUGUGGUGGCUUUGGACAAACCUGUCACCCUCCAGUUUUCAAGGGUUCCUUUCAAUCCAAUGAUGUGAUUGGGGCUCAGAGAUUUUCGGCUUUUCUCAGUGGUGGAGUCUUUGGUUGAAAUAAAUUCUUAGGAGAAGAUCAAGAUAUAAAUCCGAUACAAAGAAAAAUAAAGAGACCCAUGGGUGGGGUGAUGAGCUGGAAUCUUGCUUGGCCAUCCUCCGCAGCUUCCAUUUCCCCUCACUGGGGCUUCCUGAGACAAUGUCAGAAACCCAGCGAAUACUGUGAGAUGCUUUCAGAUAUUACUGUAAGGGCGUAAUAGUUACACUCGAGCCUUCAGACAGAAACUACAUACUGAGUUCCCUCGCACAUCUGUGGACCCAGUUGCUAGAAAUGGAGCGACCAGUGAAGCUGCAUUCCUUACACUGAUUCUUUCAAUGCCUCAGAUAUUUCAAAUUUUUUCCAGCUUUGGGCCUAUUCAUCAGGAGUUCACUCUUCCAAAAAUACACUGCCUCCAUAUUUUUGCAUGAAUAACCCCUUUCUCUUCGUUUAAAUUUUAAAUAGAUCCAAUUCCGGAGUCCUUUCCUGAGAAGCAGGCUCUUUGGGAAGAGCCUCACUGGAAUUGAUUUCUUGCAAGGCCUCAGAAGAAGCUCAGCAAUACGCUCACACACUGUACGUUUUUGUGAAAUUUGUGAGAGUCAGAUAUUCCAACAGCAAUCCAUUAUGAUCAUUCUUUUUGUUCUCUCACCUUCCCCUCUGUCACAUUUCCUUCAUGGUGGGUGGCUUUUGAAAUCUUCAUUUCUCAUUUUCUUCAUCUUCAAAAUGAGAAAAAGAAUAGUAUCUACACCCGAGUGGUGUUUCAAGGGUUAAAUAUAUUCAUACAGGAAAAUUGCUUGGAACAGGGCCUGAUGGGCAGGAAAUGCUUACUGUCUUAUUAUUUUCACUUAUUUAGAAAUCAACAAAAUAGUAGAUUACUGAAUUCAAGUCCUAGCUGGACCUUUGAAGACCAUAAGUAAAUUGUGACUAUUAAGAAUAUCAAAGAAGGCAAGGCCUAAACUCCUCCCUCUCGAGUUGAUGCAGUGAAAGCCCAGAGAAUGAAAUUGUUUGUCCAAAUCUUGCAGCUAGGGAGGGUGCAAGGUGAGACUGAUGCCCAGGUCUGCUGAUGGAAAGUCUGUCAUCGGAUGGAAGGAAAGAAGCCUGCUGGGAGAAUUUGCCCAAGCCUCUACUGACCUCUUUCUCACACUCAGUCCUGUGGAUUCCAGCUGCUUAGCAACAGCUAGAGAAGAACUGGGGUGUCCCAAACAGCCUGCUGGGCACUGACAGAAGCUAUGACUAAGGUCCCUCACACCACUGUGUAUCCAGUUGUUAGAAAAAUGGAGCGGCCAGUGAAGCUGGCCAGAACUUGUGACUCCUAUUGCCACCAAACUGAUUUUGCAUAAGGCGGACGUGCAUUUUAGAAUUUGGGUAAAUUCGUUUUGAGGCUACUGCUUCUUUCUAAGGUACCAGCAGGAUGCAGAAGCAGAUCGUAGAAGUUAUAACCGGAUCUCAUUAUCACACACAAGGAUCAACUCCAGAGGGUAGGAGAUCUCUCUAUAAAGAAUAAAUUCAUACUCUGGGAGGGGGACUGCAAGAUGGAGCUCGGCCUGGGAAACUGAGUGAGACCCUAUCUCAAAAUAAAAAAUAAUAAAAGAAAAAGGGCUACAUGUAGCUCAGUGCUCAGGCACCAGGUUCAAUCCCCAGUACUGGAAAAAAUAAAAUAAAGAAUAAAACCAAAAUAUUCCUGGAAGAAUGCACGGGUGAAAUGCAGACAGCCUUGUCACUGUGUCACCAACAUCUACAUGCCAUAAAAAGGG
rnacentral:lncRNA from 1 species